rnacentral:rRNA from 1 species
CGUAGGGUGCAAGCGUUGCUCGGAAUCACUGGGCGUAAAGGGCUCGUAGGCGGCCAACUAAGUCGGACGUGAAAUCCCUCGGCUUAACCGGGGAACUGCGUCCGAUACUCGAUGGCUUGAGUAUGGGAGAGGGAUGCGGAAUUCCAGGUGUAGCGGUGAAAUGCGUAGAUAUCUGGAGGAACACCGGUGGCGAAGGCGGCAUCCUGGACCGACACUGACGCUGAGGCGCGAAAGCUAGGGGAGCAAACGGG